UAUUUUAUAUAAUUUAAAUAGCCGCAAUUUCUGUGCUAAGGUAGCAUAAUCAUUUGCUUUUUAAUUAAAAACUAGAAUGAAAGGUUAAACAUUUAAAUUUCUUUAUUAAAACUAAAUUUUUAAUUUAUAUUAAAUAUAAAAAUAUAUUUUUUAAAAAAAAAGACGACAAGACCCUAUUAAACUUAACUUAAGUUAAACUGGGGCAGUUAAUUAAUAAAAAUUUUAGAUUACAUUACAUAAAUAAAUUUCUGAUAAAAUUAAAUUUAACAAGUUACUAUAGGGAUAACAGCGUUAUACUUUUUAAAAGUUCAUAUUUAAAAAAAUGAUUGCGACCUCGAUGUUGAAUUAUAUUUCUUUAUUAACGCAACUGUUAUAUAAGUAGGUCUGUUCGACCUUUAAAAUAUUACAUGAUCK
rnacentral:rRNA from 1 species